rnacentral:rRNA from 1 species
UAGGGAAUCUUCGGCAAUGGACGAAAGUCUGACCGAGCAACGCCGCGUGAGUGAAGAAGGUUUUCGGAUCGUAAACUCUGUUGGUAGAGAAGAACGUUGGUGAGAGUGGAAAGCUCAUCAAGUGACGGUAACUACCCAGAAAGGGACGGCUAACUACUUGCCAG